AGCGAACGCUGGAGGCAGGCCUAACACAUGCAAGUCGAACGAAGUCUUCGGACUUAGUGGCGGACGGGUGAGUAACACGUGGGAACGUGCCUUUAGGUUCGGAAUAACUCAGGGAAACUUGUGCUAAUACCGAAUGUGCCCUUCGGGGGAAAGAUUUAUCGCCUUUAGAGCGGCCCGCGUCUGAUUAGCUAGUUGGUGAGGUAAAGGCUCACCAAGGCUACGAUCAGUAGCUGGUCUGAGAGGAUGACCAGCCACAUUGGGGCUGAGACACGGCCCAAACUCCGACGGGAGGCAGCAGUGGGGAAUCUUGCGCAAUGGGCGAAAGCCUGACGCAGUCAUGCCGCGUGGAUGAUGAAGGUCUUAGGAUUGUAAAAUCCUUUCACCGGUGAAGAUAAUGACUGUAGCCGGAGAAGAAGCCCCGGCUAACUUCGUGCCAGCCGCCGCGGUAAAAC
rnacentral:rRNA from 1 species